UGAAACCAGCUUACAAUGAGACAAACUACAGAGCCGCCUUAUUGCCAUCAAACAAGUUGAAGAACAGAACCUUAUCUGUCGUUGCAGUUGACAAGUUCAGGGCGUACCUUCGAUCAUAUGCUGACUGUAGAACGGACUACAUAAAUGCCGUAUCAGUGCCAUCCUAUACAUCCAAAACUGGGUACAUCGUCACACAGACU